rnacentral:rRNA from 1 species
CGCGUGCUUACCAUGCAAGUCGAACGAUGAUGCCUAGCUUGCUAGGUGGAUUAGUGGCGAACGGGUGAGUAACACGUGAGUAACCUGCCCCUGACUCUGGGAUAAGCCUGAGAAAUUGGGUCUAAUACUGGAUAUGAACAUUUACCGCAUGGUGGGUGUUGGAAAGAUUUUUUGGUUGGGGAUGGACUCGCGGCCUAUCAGCUUGUUGGUGAGGUAGUGGCUCACCAAGGCGACGACGGGUAGCCGGCCUGAGAGGGUGACCGGCCACACUGGGACUGAGACACGGCCCAGACUCCUACGGGAGGCAGCAGUGGGGAAUAUUGCACAAUGGGCGAAAGCCUGAUGCAGCGACGCCGCGUGAGGGAUGACGGCCUUCGGGUUGUAAACCUCUUUCAGUAAGGAAGAAGCGAAAGUGACGGUACUUGCAGAAGAAGCGCCGGCUAACUACGUGCCAGCAGCCGCGGUAAUACGUAGGGCGCGAGCGUUAUCCGGAAUUAUUGGGCGUAAAGAGCUCGUAGGCGGUUUGUCGCGUCUGCCGUGAAAGUCCGGGGCUUAACUCCGGAUCUGCGGUGGGUACGGGCAGGCUAGAGUGCAGUAGGGGAGACUGGAAUUCCUGGUGUAGCGGUGAAAUGCGCAGAUAUCAGGAGGAACACCGAUGGCGAAGGCAGGUCUCUGGGCUGUAACUGACGCUGAGGAGCGAAAGCAUGGGUAGCGAACAGGAUUAGAUACCCUGGUAGUCCAUGCCGUAAACGUUGGGCACUAGGUGUGGGGGACAUUCCACGUUUUCCGCGCCGUAGCUAACGCAUUAAGUGCCCCGCCUGGGGAGUACGGCCGCAAGGCUAAAACUCAAAGGAAUUGACGGGGGCCCGCACAAGCGGCGGAGCAUGCGGAUUAAUUCGAUGCAACGCGA